GUACUCGUGUGGUGUUUUAGUCACGAUCGCGUGCAAGAAGAAAAUUACAGUAGUAGGAAAGAAAUAACAGUAGUAGGAAAGAAAUUACAGUAGUAGGAAAGAAAUUACAGUAGUAUAAACGUAGUUACAUGAAUAGUUAUUUACAAAUAGUAUAGAAAUAGUAGAAUAGUUAUUUACGAAUGGUAGAACUAUUAGUAUAUUUAUUUAGAACAUGUGAGCAGCAAUAUUCUUUUGAAAGCAUCACAGAGAUUUGCUUUCCCUAAUUUCAUUUGGAAUAGAGUUCCAUAGCUUAGCAGCAUCAUACAUGAAACUAUUUUUCAUGCUAUUGGUGCGUGGUUGUGGCAGACAAAGACCACUUGAAAUACUUCGGAGUCUAUAAUUUGUUAUCUCAUUUUUAUAAAUAAAGAGGUUUGUGAGAGAUUCGGGGCCUAUCCAAUUUAGAGUUUUGUACAUCAUUGUUGCUUUUGCCUUUUUUCUCAUGAUAUCAAGUGGCUUCCACCCUAAGGCACAUAAAGCAAUAGAAUGAUCUACAUCAUUGCUCAUAUUUGAAAUAGUUCGAGCAGCUCUGUUUUGCAGCUUUUGUAGUCGUUUAGAUUGAAUAUUUCCCCAAAU